CAGCCCCAUGCCUUAAGCAAAGUGUGGGAUGGUCUCGGGAGGACACCCACAAAUGUAAGUAGGAAGGUGGGAAGCAGCCUCUCCUCUAAUAUAGAAAAACAACUGUGACAGACAGAACAAAGCAUGUGGUUCAGACACGAGACCCUGAGCUAGCCCUGGGGAGGGAGACAGCAGCUUUGCAGCCGUUAUCCUCAGGAAGCCCUGAGCGCUGAGAGGCACUGUUACAGAACCGAACUGGGGUCCACUCGCUAGGCCUACCUAGGUGCCUGGAAUUUCCCUUCGAGGAACGCAGGAGUUUUCUUUAUUUUCAUGCUUGGGAAGGCUCAUUAGGCCCCUAAGAGAGGGUCCCUUCCCCAUCUCAGGACUAAAAUGCAAUGAAGAUGUUGCUCAGAGGCAGCUGGAGAGGGAUGGGUCUGUGGAGGAUGCCCCGCAGAGUGAAGUCGAGAUGAUGCAGCCACCAGGGCCGGAGGGGAGGGACAUUCCACUUUUUAAAUCAGCUUUCUGAAGCAUGAUCUCCAUAUAAUCACCUAGAAGCGUACAGCACAAUGAUCUUGACAGAUGCCAGCAUCCUUGGAACCACUGCCACCACCAACGUCUCAAACCAUUCCAUCAAACCCAGAACACUCCUGGUGCCCUGAAGCGUCUCCCUUCAGUGGCAGAACCAGCAGAGAUUCAGUGGUCACAAGGCUGGUCUGGAACUCCUGGGUGCAAGCGAUCCUUCCACCUCGGCCUCCCAAAGUGCUGGGAUUAGAGGCAUAAGCCACCGCGCCCAGCCAGGAAUGGAUUUUCUCACAGUUCUCGAUGGCGGAAGUCUGAGAUCAAGGUCUUGGCAGGGCUAGGUCUCUCUGAGGCCUUUCUCCCCAGCUUAUAGGUCGCCGCCUCCUCUCUCUGUCUUUCCUUGUCUUCCUUGUGUCCACAGUUGUGUCCAAAUUCCCCUUUCUCAUAAGGACGUCAGUCAUGUUGGAUUAGGGCCCUCCCUCCUGACCUUGUUUUAGCUUAAUCUCUGCAACUUAACCCUUAACCUCAGUAAAGAUCCUAUUUCCAAAUGUGUUCACAUUCUGAGGUCCUGAGGAUUAGGACUUUGAAAGGAUUAAAACAGGCUCUUCUGGCAUAUUGACAAUUUCAGCUAAAGACUCUUGAGAAACAGCAGGUGCAAAAAGAUCACAGUGACCUCCAUGCUGUACCUUGAGAUGAAAUUCCAAUGCGAAAGAUGCCCUCUCCACCCUAGAAGGGAAAGCAACAUCCUUAUCUUUGGGAGUGAAAAGUCCAAACUGAGAGCAUACUGUGAGUACCUCAUUAGCAUCAUUCCAUUCUCUGAGCUUCCCCGCAGACUUCAGUUGCUUCUUCACAGCUCUGCUCUUUGUCCCGUCCAAUCUCUGAGUAACUAACUCACUGCUUCUGCAGGUCUUCAUUUCUGCAGGAGGGCUCCCAUGCUACAUAAAUCCUGCAUUACACUUUUCUCCUGUUAGUCUAUGUUAUGUCCAUUUAAUUCUCAGGCCCAGCCGGGACCCUAAGAGGACAGAGGUGGAGUUUUUCCACCCCUACAACUUUACCCAAUCACAAUUCAAUCCUAACAGUGCCUUUCUCUGGAGGGGCUCUGCCAGCAUGAAUUCCUUUACGGGUGGAAGCCUCACAGUCCAGUCUACCAGUGAGGUCCACAUGGGAUUGGCUGGAGGGAGCUACGAAGUCAAGCGGCGUCAGGUACAGAGAAACAAAUCCCACAUCCAAGGGCCAGGAGGCGGUAGAGCAAACCACGCACAGCCGGGUGACUUAAGGGCAAGGAAGUCUUCCUGCAGGAGGUGAAUUUGGCACAAGGGAUACGUUUUUAGGCCCUGAGUGGAGGAUCUGGGUUUCAAACUGGACUUUUGAAAAACACACUCUUAUUGUAGAAGGGCCUGCGGGUUUGUUUUAAUCACUUCUCAAAGCUACGCUAGGCAUUCGCAGCUCAGGAUCCCCAGUUUAGCCUAAUAAAAAAAAGUAAUUACAUCAUAUUACAGAUAAUUUGAUUGUGUCUGAGACGAUAAUUGAGUUAAAACGCUUAUUGUAACAGACACAUCAGAUUGGCAAGGAGGAAGCUCGGCUUAAAUACAAACAGUGUUGAGAGUGGAAUUAAAGGAUUGCCAUUGCAGUUAAUCCAAUAGUAAUUAUUUUCUGAACAUAAAUUCCUGAGUAGUGAGGACACAAUUAUAUCUACAAACAGUCAUAAGAAAAUAAUUACUCCACGUUCCACCUGAAGCAACAGUCCAUAAAAGCUCUGGUGCCGCUCUCCAGGAAGCCGGGCUCUUUCCAUCAGAAACUCACGGCCGAUGCCAGUACUGAGAAAAGGGCUCCCAAGCACUGCGGGACUCACCAGGCAGCUUAUGACAGGCUUUCCAAGUGUGAUUGCUCUGCCCGCGUGACACCCAGGCCCACCGUGUAUAUGACCACCCCAACAGGCCGACACUUAAGACACCCCAGAGGAUGAACACGCACGUCUUUCGUUCACAGACUGCAGUCUCCAGCCUCACCCCCUGGGCCACCCACCCUCCCCCGCUGGACUGACAGCCUUCCCGUACCAUCCAGAGGCCAUGGCCUACUUUGUCAACCCUCCCUUGUGAAGAUCCUCAUCUUCCUGCCAUGCCUGCCCAGCCAGACUCUAGCCCUGCAUCAGCCAGACCCACUGGUAGAUGUCGGGGCGAUCUCACACUCGGUCCUGGAGCUGCCCAGGAACCUCACUGUCCUCCUGUAAUCUCCCUCGCUCUCCUUGGCCACUUGCUCACCUGGUGAGCUUUCCCCUCUCCAAAGCGACUCCACCUCCUACUCCAGAUCCUCUCCAUCCCAAUCCACAGAGGGCAUGGGAUAAAGGAGAAGCCCCAGACAGGAACUUCUUCAACUUCUGCCUCUGGCCCUCAAAGACGCCUGCAAACAGUGUCACCUGUAAAGCUCUUCUGCUUGGGUUUUGUCCUAAGGAGAUGCCUGUUCUCCUCCUCACUCAGGCUGGCUCCUCACAGUCUCCAAUCCUGUCCCAUCCUGACUCCUUUGCAAGCCUCCUAUGUGGGCUUCGGUGCCCCCCACCUCGAAAGCUUAUUCCCUCAACUCCACGGGCACCUCAGUCAAACUUCCGGAAGAUCUCCCUCCUUGCUCAGGGCAGCCUCUUUGCACCCUAGCCUCUGUCUCAGCAUCUGCUAGCAUCGCUCUCGCAGCAGGAGCCGCCCUGCUCUGCUCACCAAGAUGCUGCCAGUGUAGCUGGGCCGGAGCUCUGCACCGCGCUGGAGUCCCGCUCUCCCCAGAGCCCCGGCCCUGCUGUGUGCUGCUCCUCCGUUUCUCUGCAACUCCCUCCUGGGCCUCUGAGGUUCU
ensembl:lncRNA LINC01532 long intergenic non-protein coding RNA 1532